rnacentral:lncRNA from 1 species
GUUUACAUGCAAGGUCACGGAACAUAUUUGUUGUGACAGGCAAAAAAAUUGGACUUUGGAACGCGGAAGUUAAAAUAUCAGUAUAAAGGGAAAAAAAAAAACAGAUUGGACUUUGACCAAAACCAAAGUGCAGAGAAAAAUGUCUAGAUGUCUAAAGAAAAAUUUACUACCCGAAAUUUCCAGACAGCAUUAGUUAAAAAAUUAAGUCAAUCUAAAAUGGUCAGUCAGUGAUUCAACUAAAUGGCGAUUGUUACAAGUAUAAAUCAGUCAAAUAACUUGAUCAUAGAUUGAUAAUGACUGUAUUGGUAGGACCAGCUGUGCGAGAAUAAAAAUGUUCUCGCAAUAAAAGUCUUUUGAACUUUAUGAUUUCAUAUUUCCCACGUCAGUUUAGGAAGAUAACCAUAUACGAUAAGUAGUAUAGCGUAAAACUUAGUCUUGGUGAUAAAAGAAUAAAAUGGUACCAUAUGCAGCUGUGACAUCGGCCUUUUUGUAGUUUUUAUGUUAAUAUAGGAUAUAGUUAUAUAUUGAAGGGUUGAAUUUUGGCGUAAAAAAGCGUAAGCUUGUUUAUGAUUAAGGCAGAGAAAUAAUUCUAAUUAGAAAUCAUUUUACACUUUGAGCUUAGGCAAUAAUUCUACAUCGCAUACUUUUAAAACCAAGGGGCAGGACGUGAAGUGGUUGCACACUUGGUUCAAG